UUGGAGGGCAAGUCUGGUGCCAGCAGCCGCGGUAAUCCUAGCUCCAAUAGCGUAUAUUAAAGUUGCUGCAGUUAAAAAGCUCGUAGUUGAAUUUCGGGAUCAAAUUGUCGGUCGUGCCUCGGUACGCACUGGUAUUAUUGGUUCCUACCUUCUGAAGAACCGCGAUGUCAUUAAUUUGGUGUCGUGGGGAAUCAGGAUUGUUACUUUGAAAAAAUUAGAGUGUUUAAAGCAGGCUUACGCUUGAAUACAUUAGCAUGGAAUAAUGAAAUAGGACGUUUGAUUCUAUUUUGUUGGUUUCUAGGAUUGACGUAAUGAUUAAUAGGGAUAGUUGGGGGCAUUAGUAUUCAAUUGUCAGAGGUGAAAUUCUUGGAUUUAUUGAAGACUAACUACUGCGAAAGCAUUUGCCAAGGAUGUUUUCAUUAAUCAAGAACGAAAGUUAGGGGAUCGAAGACGAUCAGAUACCGUCGUAGUCUUAACCAUAAACUAUGCCGACUAGGGAUCGGAUGAUGUUAAUUUUUUAAUGACUCAUUCGGCGCCUUACGGGAAACCAAAGUGUUUGGGUUC
rnacentral:rRNA from 1 species